CCGACGGGUUAACAUCACUGCUGAGGAACUGCACUAUUGAUCGUCUUCAAUAAAGUCUUCUCUCCGUAAGAACUUUGGUCAGCUUACUUGUUUUAUGUAUUAGAGUAAUCUAAUACAUUGGCGAGCCACCCAAGAACGGUUAAGCCAAAUACAGCAAAAUCUAACAAUUUGGCGAAGCCAGCCAGGAGAGACUGAAAAGAGGAAAACUCAUCAACUGCAACAAGAAAUGAACUGAAGAAUCUUGGAGAAUCUACAGUUAAAGCUGAAGAUAAACGGAUUUUGUUUGUGGACGAGUCCUGGAUCUACAUAUUGUAUCUGUGGACACACUUUAUUUUAAUCAACUGGAUCUCAUCUCAAAGAUCCUAGUUUGAGCACUGUCCUGUACUUCCCAUGGCUGAGUCUGCAAGAAACUAUGCUAAUGGAGCUACCCUGAGAACAACAUCAGAAAAACAUGGAACAGAACCUCCAUGUGUUACCAUUGACCAGAUGUUGGAGAAUUUGAAUGCAUAUUUAGACAAAAGGCUGGGACUGAGGAAGUGUCGUGAUGAUGUAUGCAAGAAGUACAGCAUCAAGCACUCACAGAGUGGAUUAUGGGCAUUGCCGGACAUUAAAAGGGCUUAUGGAAAGACACAGCGCUUAUGCACAACCACCAAGAAGGAUGGAUUGUCUGUGAUUUUGGUUAAGCAAAUUCUUCAACAUGAGCAUAAGUGUGAGACUGACAGAUUGGAACGUGAGAACAAAGCGGAGAAAGCUAAAGUUCGAGCACUGGCUGAACAAUUGCAAAACUUAAAGACGCAUAAAGAAAGA
rnacentral:lncRNA from 1 species